rnacentral:rRNA from 1 species
CGGGAGGGUGAGUAAUGUCUGGGAAACUGCCUGAUGGAGGGGGAUAACUACUGGAAACGGUAGCUAAUACCGCAUAACGUCGCAAGACCAAAGAGGGGGACCUUCGGGCCUCUUGCCAUCGGAUGUGCCCAGAUGGGAUUAGCUAGUAGGUGGGGUAACGGCUCACCUAGGCGACGAUCCCUAGCUGGUCUGAGAGGAUGACCAGCCACACUGGAACUGAGACACGGUCCAG